AUUGAACGCUGGCGGCAGGCCUAACACAUGCAAGUCGAGCGAGCGGCGGACGGGUGAGUAAUGUCUGGGAAACUGCCUGAUGGAGGGGGAUAACUACUGGAAACGGUAGCUAAUACCGCAUACCAUCAGAUGUGCCCAGAUGGGUUUAGCUAGUGGGUGGGGUAACGGCUCACCUAGGCGACGAUCCCUAGCUGGUCUGAGAGGAUGACCAGCCACACGGGAACGGAGACAGGGUCCAGACUCCUAGGGGGGGCAGCAGUGGGAAAUAUUGCAAAAGGGGCGAAGGCCUGAGGCAGCCAUGCCGCGUGUGUGAAGGAGGCUUUGGGGGUGUAAAGCACUUUCAGCGGGAAGGCGUUACCCGCAGAAGAAGCACCGGCUAACUCCGUGCCAGCAGCCGCGGUAAUU
rnacentral:rRNA from 1 species